GUCGGCCGUGUCGUUUCCUUCUGGGUGCCCCGAACUUGCGUGUCCGCCGGGUUCUGUCUUGCACACGGUUCUGUCUGGAACGCUCGGUCUCCCCCCCCCCCCAGGGCCUCCCGGGGUCUGUUUUGCUGUAACUUUGUGGUUAAAUCUUAAUAAACCUUUCCCUACCAGGUGACCACGUGGGUGUGUCUGAAUCACUUCCCCGCAGCCCCUUCCUGUGCCUUCCUGGGGCUGGGCUGGGGACCCAGGCCCCUCCCCCAUCCUGAGUCCUAGUGGGUCUGGUGGGGGGAGGGCAGAGAGCUCCCAGGCCCACUGCUGUGUGGACAAAGUAUGGGCUCAGGAAGUCUCCCCAGAACCCCUUCCCCACCAGUUCCCAAACCUGGGGGCCUGUGCUGGAACCCCCACCUUCAGCGGGGGUGGGCGGCCACCAGGACAGAUCCCACAGCCAGGGGGAAGGAGGUCACAGCUCUGCCUGCCUCCCGGCCUGGGGGCACCCAAGUGGGAGCUCAGGCCCAGCCAGCGGGGGGUGGGUUGGGGGUGACUCCUGCCCAGCAAGCUGGCUGGGGCCCCAGACAGGUGUGGUCGCAGGUCUGGCAGCCCCUCCCGGGAAGAGGGAGCUGCUCAGAAGCUGGGCCUGUACCUCCGGCCACACAGGUCACUUCCAACGAAAUGGAAAGGAGCAGACUGUGAUAAUCUUUAGAUGAGGAAACCAGAGAGCAGAAGGCGGACACACAUCUGUUCCAGGCUGUUAGAAAUGAUAGAAAACACACGUACACCCAAGACAGGAGGAGGAAUCCUGGUUGGGUGGGAGCAGUCACCCGACUUCCUCCUUCUGCAGGGGGCCGGGGGUGGGGUGGGGGGCAACCUACGUGUCCCACAGCCCCCGGCGGCAGGUGGCCGGUCCCGGACUGAAGUCCUCCGUGCCGCAGCUCCUCGAACAGGCACGGGACGGUGCUGCACAGUACGAAGUGAGCAGAGAUCGGGCAUCAACUCGCCGAUUGGGAAACUGCAUCGGUUUGUUCCCACUUUGUUGCUGCUUUGGACCUGACGACGAGCGUCCGUCCGUCCGCAGAGCAGCUGGUGGGCUCGGGUUUUGCCACUUCUCGGUUCCUGCAGACGCAGACUUAAUGAUCUCACCAAAACUGCCGGAGCGGGGCUGCUGAGUCGCGUGCUGUGUGUGGUUUUGACUAUUAAAAGCUACUGUAGGGCACCCGGGUGGCUCAGUUGUUUGAGUGACUGCCUGAAGCUGAGGUCAUGGUCCUGGAGUCCUGGGUUCCGCCCCAGCCUCCCUGCUCGGCGGGGGGUCUGCUUGUCGCGCUCACCUUCCCCCUCUCAUGCUCAAUCUCUCCCAUUCUCUCUCUCAAGUGAAUAAAUAAAAACUUAAAAAAAAAAAUCUACUGUAUGUUCCCAGGGGUCGGUGGGGGCCCACGAUUCUGCGUUCCCACAGCGACAAGCGAGGGCUCUGGCUGCACCGGCUGCGCCGUGUCCCGGCCAGGCCGGCUGACCCAGCAUCGGCCAGUGCUCGGCUGCGCAGCGCUACCCCAGCGGGGUUCCAGGGGCGCGCGGGCGCUCAGUGUCUCCUGUGUUCGCCAUCUUCCUCCGUGCAGUGUUGAACUCGACAUUUUGUCCUAUUUUUAGUGGGUUUUUCUCAUUACUCGGUUUCUAAGGGCCCAAGUCCUGAUCAAUAUUUUCUCCUAGUCUCGGAGAGAGAGGGGUGUGCGCCGUGUUCCGGGGUUCAGAGGGCAAGACUGCGUCUCUGCCCGGGAAGUGCGGUGUCUGCUGGGGGCGUUGGAGCUGCUCUGGGGCCGCCCGAAGCCCUUCCUGUUCCCGGUUCGUGGUUCUGAUUCCGUCUCGUGCUCUUCCUGGAUCUGUCGAGAUGAGCCCGUGUUUGAGUUUGUUAAUGUGGUGAAGGACAUCGUGGUCUCCCGCGCGCACCCGUCUUCCCUUCCUGGGAUGGAUUCCACUCCGCCAUACGUAUUCUCCUCUACUUACUGCUGGAUUUGAACUUCUAGAAUGUUGUUAAAGAUGUUUAUGGUUAUGAAGGGAAAUGGUCCUGUGUUUGUUUCUGUUUUCCUUUGCAAUGUCUGGCUUUGGUAGAAAGGUAGUGACUGCUAUCAUAAAAUGGGAUAGGGAAGAGCUCACUCCUUAGUUUUAUGAAAAAACCUGGCAGAGAAUUUCCACAUUUUCCUUGUAUGUUUGGAAGGGUUUGUCAGUGAAUUUUUUUUUUAAAGAUUUUAUUUAUUUAUUUGACAGAGAGAGAUCACAAGUA